rnacentral:tRNA from 1 species
AGUAUCACGCCGGAUGAACGGAAAUCAUUGAUGUUGAUUAGCAUGAGAUAAAUUAUUUCUGAUACUA